CCUACGGGAGACAGCAGUGAGGAAUAUUGGUCAAUGGACGGAAGCCUGAACCAGCCAUGCCGCGUGAAGGAUGACGGCUCUAUGAGUUGUAAACUGCUUUUGUACGAGAAUAAUAGUUCGUACGUGUAGGGGUUUGAAUGUAUCGUACGAAAAAGGAUCGGCAAACUCCGUGCCAGCAGCCGCGGUAAUACGGAGGAUUCGAGCGUUAUCCGGUUUUGUUGGGUUUAAAGGGUGCGUAGGCGGUGGAUUAAGUUAGGGGUAAAAUUUCGGGGCUUACCCCCGGCGCGCCGUCGAAAACGGUCGACUUGAGAACGGGAGAAGUAGGCGGAAUGCGUAGUGUAGCGGUGAAAUGCUUAGAUAUUACUCAGAACACCGAUUGCGAAGGCAGCGUGC
rnacentral:rRNA from 1 species